rnacentral:misc_RNA from 1 species
AAUAAAGAGGGUCUCAUAGCCGUUUUUGAUCUCGGGGGAGGAACCUUUGAUGUUUCUAUCCUUGAGAUAUCAAAUGGCGUGUUUGAGGUCAAAGCUACAAAUGGUGACACAUUUUUAGGCGGCGAAGAUUUUGACAACACUCUUUUGGAAUACCUAGUUAGUGAAUUCAGGCGAACUGAUGGCAUAGAUCUUUCAAAGGACAGGCUUGCCCUUCAGAGACUCCGAGAAGCAGCUGAGAAGGCCAAGAUAGAGCUUUCGUCAACAUCCCAGACUGAUAUCAAUCUACCAUUUAUAACGGCUGAUGCAUCAGGUGCGAAGCAUUUGAAUAUUACACUAACAAGAUCGAAGUUUGAGAGCUUGGUGCAGGACCUGAUUGAGAGGACUAAAGAACCAUGCAAAAACUGCUUAAAGGAUGCUGGCAUAUCUCCCAAGGAUGUUGAUGAAGUUCUUCUUGUUGGUGGGAUGA